ensembl:ncRNA Y53F4B.56 ncRNA
UUAAAAAACUUGGCCUAAGCUUAAGCCUAAGACUAAGAUUUAGCCUAAACCGUCAGUGGCGAGCGUCAGCUCGCCACUGACGCCAAGCCUAAGCCUAUGCCUAAGCCUAUG